UCCAGGUCGCGGGUGCUGGGAAGAGCUGGUGGCUCCCUAAAUCGUCCCGGGCUUUCAGCACGGAGCACUGGGGGAUGGUGCCACAGUGGGGUCCUCCCAGGGCACACCCCCCCCCAUUUCUUUUUGGGGGAGAAGAGUUUUUCCUGGCAACUCCAUCCCACAGCAGGGCUGGGAACGAAGAUCCCCGAGACCGACAGGAGCAGGAGGACGUGGAGGACCCCCUCUGCACUAAACUGCUGAAGAGUUAAAACUGCAGCAUUUCUUUCUUCCAGUCCACGGAAGAUUCCGGCAGCUCCGGGCCACAACCACUCCGUGCCCGGGGUAGUUGAGAUGUUGGCAGUGGACACGGUUUCAGCAUAAUUUAACACAAUCUCUACCAAUUUGUUACACCUAAGUGGAGGCAGAUGUGCAUCCAUAUUCAUUUUGGAGGAACUUCAGGAAUUAUAACUUCAUCAGCUAAGGCCGCCUGCCGCCGCCAGCCCGAGUUCCUGUGCAGGAGAAGGUGCCGUGCCGGGACACUGGCCAAAUCCAGCCCUGCUCAAGUGCCAUGCCAUGAGGUCCCCAGCCUAGAGGAGAGGAGCCCUGUUCCAGGCAGAGGACAUGGAGACACCACAUCCCCUUCCUGGCCAGCACAGCUCCAGUGCUACAGGGUCAGCUCAGAUGGCUCCUGGCCGCAGGCUCCAGCUGCUCCUUGCCCAUCCCAGGGAUGCAGACCGAGGAUGCCGGUGCUGCUGCCUCUCCUGCAGCAUCCUGGGCAGGCGUGGCCCUGGAAAACACCCUGGUGAAGGUUCAAGGAGGACAGGACAGGCCCCGUGGCCAGGUGUGCUGCUGCUUUGGGUAGGGAGAAGACAUGAUCAGCCCACAGCACCUUGAAAGAGAGCUUGGAUGUGAUUCCUGCACCAGGAGGGCCACCAGUGGGUACUGGUGUCCCCGGCCCCACCACUGGUGCCAUUCCCAGCCCGUCCACUGGCACAAGGCAAGCUCGGAGCCAGAAAAGAGCUCUCCACUUCAGAGCAAGUCCAGAGAAAUAAAGAGAAGAGAAAUAAACCCCUACGUUUGCUCUGCACUCAGCUCCGAGCCGCCGUUGUGUCUUGCUGCUCAAAGGAUUUCUGGGAAAGCUCCACCACUUUUAUUCCUUAAACACAGAGCAAAACAAUCAAUGGGGUUUUGAUAUCGCCUAAGCCCUGCAAGCCUGUUCCUGGGAAGCCACGGGGAGUGGAUAGAGCUGUGACGGUCUGAAAAGAAACCCGCACAGGAAAAGGCACAGCUGGAAUUCCCAGUGCUCCCAGUGGCUCCGUGCACCUGCUGCAGUGACUCUGCACAGUUCAAACAAGGACACCCCGCUGCCCAUCCCUGGCUGUGGCCUGGGGAGGGUGCAGGGGGGACCAACCAUGAGCCACCCUCUGCUCCAGGCUCCCAGCCCAGGCUCCAUCACACACAACAGAUAUGGACCUCCUUGCUUUCACAGCUCCUGUGCCCAUUGUUUUCUCACAGAGAUCACAACAUUUCAUGAGGAAUUCAGUCCCUCUCUGCCUUUCAUUCAGUACAAGUGUCUUAAAAACAGAUCUGAGACUCUUCUAGUUUGCUCAUCGCUCAAAGGAAAUGAACAUUUGAGAUCCUGCCCAGUAAAACCAGCCUGGUGACAGACACAUGGUGGCCGUGUGGAUGAGCUGGCCACGCUGCCACAUCCCGAGGGAGUGACCUCAGGGAAACACCAGCCCUUGGACAGCCGGGCAGGCGAUGCUCGGGCACAUGGUGUGGGCUCAUCAUUGUGGGGCACCAUGGACGUCCUGGCUGCCUUCCCACUGGAUCACAGGCAGCCAGGCAGCACUCGAGGAGGGACAGGAGCUGGAGCUGUGCCCUCACCCUGCUGGUGGCAGCAGUGCCAUCACCCUGCUAAUCACUCAGCUGUGCCCUGUGCACUGGCUGUCAGCGUUUCCCUGGGAAGGAUGUGGCCCAUGUGGGUGUGAUAAAAGCCAGUUAACCCCACACUUGGGUCAUGGGGACAUCCUUCACUGGCAGUGGAGGACACGUGUCCCCAGCCCUCCCAGGGCCACCAGAGUGCUGUGGCAGCCCGGGCAGGCCCAUGGCCAGGCUGGGCACCACUCUGUGCCCCGUCCCCGCUCCGCCUGUCUGCUCUGCUUCCCUGCUCCCUGCUGUCCCGGUACAAAUCAUUUGCUCAGAUAACAGAUGACGUGUUUAUCCCAAGGGGUACAAGCCUGAAUAUUAGGAUGUCAAAACCAGCUGCAUUUGCAAUACGUUACUGUCAAAUGGAGAAUAAAAAGGGAGUUGCAGUUAUUUAAUUUGGUGCCAGCGCAGGAGAGCGGGAGCCGGGGGAGCAGCGUCUGCUCCCGGGCUGGGAUCCAGACCCCCGGACCUGGCAGGAGCUGCCUGGGGGGCUGGGGAGGGCACAGGCUGGGGGUCUGGUGCCGGGAAGUUGCUGCAUUGCUGCACUGCCUCUCCUCCCUCUCAUGCCGGAGCCUGGGAGAGGGAGAAGCCGCCUCGUCUGCGGGCAGGUCGCGGGGGGCACGUGGCAGCUCAUUCAUCCGUGCCAGCAAAAUCUGUACUUUAAAAAAUUUGUCGGGAAAAGAAAGGCUUUUUUGAAGACAAACAUCCCAGCUCCUUGGGGAAGGCUCCGAGUUUGCAGAAUACCAAUUAAAAAUAUAAAAGUGCUUUUUAAAAAAAUAAAUCUAUAAAGGCGA